rnacentral:rRNA from 1 species
GCUUAGUGGCGAACGGGUGAGUAACGCGUGAGUAACCUGCCCUGCGAGUGGGGGACAACAGUUGGAAACGACUGCUAAUACCGCAUAAGCCCACGGAUCCGCAUGGAUCUGCGGGAAAAGGAUUUAUUCGCUUCAGGAUGGACUCGCGUCCAAUUAGCUAGUUGGUGAGGUAACGGCCCACCAAGGCGACGAUUGGUAGCCGGACUGAGAGGUUGAACGGCCACAUUGGGACUGAGACACGGCCCAGACUCCUACGGGAGGCAGCAGUGGGGGAUAUUGCACAAUGGGGGAAACCCUGAUGCAGCGACGCCGCGUGGAGGAAGAAGGUUUUCGGAUUGUAAACUCCUGUCGUUAGGGACGAUAAUGACGGUACCUAACAAGAAAGCACCGGCUAACUACGUGCCAGCAGCCGCGGUAAAACGUAGGGUGCAAGCGUUGUCCGGAAUUACUGGGUGUAAAGGGAGCGCAGGCGGACCGGCAAGUUGGAAGUGAAAACUAUGGGCUCAACCCAUAAAUUGCUUUCAAAACUGCUGGCCUUGAGUAGUGCAGAGGUAGGUGGAAUUCCCGGUGUAGCGGUGGAAUGCGUAGAUAUCGGGAGGAACACCAGU